rnacentral:rRNA from 1 species
GACGAACGCUGGCGGCGUGCCUAAUACAUGCAAGUCGAACGCUUCUUUCCUCCCGAGUGCUUGCACUCAAUUGGAAAGAGGAGUGGCGGACGGGUGAGUAACACGUGGGUAACCUACCCAUCAGAGGGGGAUAACACUUGGAAACAGGUGCUAAUACCGCAUAACAGUUUAUGCCGCAUGGCAUAAGAGUGAAAGGCGCUUUCGGGUGUCGUUGAUGGAUGGACCCGCGGUGCAUUAGCUAGUUGGUGAGGUAACGGCUCACCAAGGCCACGAUGCAUAGCCGACCUGAGAGGGUGAUCGGCCACACUGGGACUGAGACACGGCCCAGACUCCUACGGGAGGCAGCAGUAGGGAAUCUUCGGCAAUGGACGAAAGUCUGACCGAGCAGCGCCGCGUGAGUGAAGAAGGUUUUCGGAUCGUAAAACUCUGUUGUUAGAGAAGAACAAGGACGUUAGUAACUGAACGUCCCCUGACGGUAUCUAACCAGAAAGCCACGGCUAACUACGUG